rnacentral:rRNA from 1 species
UACGUAGGGGGCAAGCGUUGUCCGGAAUCAUUGGGCGUAAAGCGCGCGUAGGCGGCCCGGUAAGUCCGCUGUAAAAGUCCAGGGCUCAACCCUGGAAAGCCGGUGGAUACUGUCGGGCUAGAGUACGGAAGAGGCAAGUGGAAUUCCUGGUGUAGCGGUGGAAUGCGCAGAUAUCAGGAGGAACACCUAUAGCGAAGGCAGCUUGCUGGGACGUUACUGACGCUAAGGCGCGAAAGCGUGGGGAGCGAACAGG